rnacentral:lncRNA from 1 species
UUCUAAGCUUCUGAAUUUGAUCAUGUAUGCUUGAUGAAAGCAUUGCCCAAGUUCCUCUUCAUUGUUGUCAUCUUCAUCUCCUUCGUAUUGUUCUCAUCGCUUGCUACUGCCUCUUCUUCAUGAAUUUUCCCCUGCGUCCGAACAGAACAUAUACCAAAAUAUAUAUCUAUUGAAAAGUUUAUGAAAUUACUUUUCCAACGAGUGAUCAUUCAUCUAAAAUGGAGUUCAAAUGAGAGAGUUAUGCCCAUUUUAUUUUAGCACCGUGUGCUGUCCAGAACUGAUUUCAAGACACACGACGUUCGAUGAUUUGACCAUAACCACUUGUAGGAAUCUCUGAUUGCCUUGAUUCUUAAUUUCUUGGAACAUAGACUUCAUAUAGCUUCUGAAUAUCCAAAAAUAUUCUGUUUUUUUCUUCUAAGGUUGAGCCAAAAUCUCGAUGACAAUAGUAGUUUGUCGUGCAUUGAUCCAGAGAUGUUGAUGAUCUUGAUCUAGUGGUCUUUUGGGCAUUAUGUCACACAUCCUUUGGCUUCAAGGUUGUCACCAUUGCUGCAGCAGGGAAUAUCAUGGUAGAAAUGAUGCAUCUUCUCCAUAAUUCUUGCUUUAGCCAAGGUGUCGGGAUCAGAGGAGGCUCCAACGCUUUGUGUCGACGAUCUGAGCAGUUUUCUUCCUUAAUUGCAUCACUCAAUUAGAAGCUUCUAAGCAUCCCACUAGAGAAGAUUGGUAGUGUCAUGGUGCUUCUAAUCUUGUUUCCUCCAGUCUUGAUCAACUCCUAAUCAUCACCUUUUGUGCAGAGAGGUUCUCCAAUCUUUCUUUUCUUAACAUGUUUGCUUACAUCAUCAUCACCUCCUUCGUCGCUCUUCACUGCUGCCUGUUCUCCAUUGAAUUCCUCUUAGUUCAGUAUAGAAC